rnacentral:rRNA from 1 species
UACGUAGGGGGCAAGCGUUGUCCGGAUUUAUUGGGCGUAAAGAGCUCGUAGGCGGCUUGCUAAGUCAGGUGUGAAACCUCCAGGCUCAACCUGGAGCCGCCACCUGAUACUGGUAUGGCUCGAGUCCGGAAGAGGCGAGUGGAAUUCCUGGUGUAGCGGUGAAAUGCGCAGAUAUCAGGAGGAACACCAUGGCGAAGGCAGCUCGCUGGGACGU